UGUGAUCAUGAAUUUUCUCCAAGGCGACUCUGUUUGAUUCUACAAGUAUGACUGGCUUUUUGCUCCUUAUACCCUCAAUUACCCAUACCCACAGUGCCCCUGAACACCAGGACUGGUCAUGGAAAGGUAGAGAUCCCUGAUCCCUAGCCAGAGAAAAGAGUCUGGAGACAGCCUCCAUCAAUCUUAGUGUUCUGCGCAGUAUAGACCCUUUACUCUGCUCUGUGCCUGCUUAGGAUCAUCCUAUUGAACUGUAGUCCCCUCUAACUGGCUUCUGGAUCCCAUUUAAGCUGACUGCCCAACAGAUGUUCACCUAAUAUCUACUCUUCAGUCCCCAAGUUCACAGUUUUUCAUAGACUCCAGCACUUUCAUUGGUCUCUGCCUGAGUCUGGAGAAUCCAAGGAGCCCAGAGGCAAGAGAGAGUCCAGAGCUGGACCAGACAGACCUACCUCCUCCAGCGUGUGAUAAGAGGAGUAGCUGAAGCUACUGGUGCUGCGCUCCAGCCGGCGCGAUCUCGCCAUGGCUUCUCUCUCCUCGUUCAGCAGCACCUAGGAGAUGAGAGCACACACUGGAGGGCAGAGAAGGUCCUUGUCCCUCUCCUGAGCCCAGCCUGCACCGGCCACACAGAAAGACAGCAUCGACACAGGGAAAUGAGCCACUGUGAGCGAGCACCUGCAGCAGGAGGUGGCACUCAACCUUGAUGUGGCACUUCCCACUGACCACAGGGAGGACAUUCAGGUGAGUUGACUAUUCACUGCUCAGACCACCUAUAUCAUCCCGGGACACUUUUCCACCUUGGGUCACAGUGAGAUGGACAGGUGCCCUUCAUCCAAACUCAUACCCUUAUCUUGGUACCCAGGGACUAAGUCACCCCAGGAUUCAGAACUGACUGACGUGCCUAUGGGAAUUGCCUGCCACAGAGGGUGUUGAUCACAUCCUCAUCAACCCAAAGGUGCCCCUGGUUUGCAGCUCUGGAUCACAAAUGAGUCUUGACAAUGCCUAGAUUUGGACCAGAGCCUUUUGGUUUACCAAGCAUCUUUAUUCCCAUGAUCUCACUUGACCAGAUGCCAGGGCAGGUAUUAACUCUGCAUGUUUCAGAGAUAAAGCAGAUUGAAGAGAUGACAAGACUUAAUGGCAAAACUAACAAGUGGCAGAGGUAAGUAAAGAAUGAGCUAUUCUAUUUCCUAGCCUCAAGUUCCUUAGGCUAGCUAGCCAAACUAAAGGGCAACAAUAACUUAUAUACAUAGAUGUGUGUAUCUCUGUGUGCACCUGUGUAUGUGUGUGUGUGUGUGUGUGUGUAUGAAUACAGAAAGAGAGGAGAGAGAACACAAACAGGCAAAAUGUUAAUAACAGCUGAAAAUUGCAUCACACUAUUCUUACAAUUAAAAAGUGUUUUGUUUUGUUUUAAUGAUGAAAAAUGAAGUAACCCCAAGUACAGGAAAAUAAGACACUUAAAAAAAACCCACCAGAAUAUUAACAAUGCCUGUUAGAAGGAGAAAUUAGGAUUUCAAGCCAUUUGUUUUCUCUUCUCUAUUUUUUACAUUUUGGCUUAUAUUAGAUUAAUAAGUAAGAAUUAUUAAAUGAAUAAAUAAUAUCAAAAUCCAAAGCUCUAAUGGUUAAUAUGAGGUAACAGCAGCAAAGUCUUCACUGGGCUGAGAGACCUGUGACAGAUGAGCUGCUAUCCAGUGACGCACUCAGCUCUGAGGGUCCUGUCCACUUGCUCAUGGCUCUCUCAAGUUCAGAGAUUUCAAAAGGACCUGGGAAUUGGUGCAUGGAGAUCAUUUUACUUUAUGUUUGAGCACUGACCACAUGCUAGGCAACGUAAUUGCUGUUUUCUAUGGCUGAGCUGGCUUGUCUUUGGUUCCCAGUUGGGCAAAACUGGGAUUACUGGUUAAAUUAGACAUGGGCUGGAGGAGCUCUCAAUGGCUACUCAGGAGCACCACCCUGAGAAGCUCUAACAAAGAGACUGUGUCUUCUUCCCAGAAAAUCCACCCAUCUCUGGGCAGGCCCACCGUGACCGUGAUGUGUGCCCACCAUUAUGGACUGGUGCUACCAGCUGGGUGAGCAGCUGCAAGGGGGACAGCAGCUGGGCCAGGGCAGCCUGGUCCCCACUCUGGCCUCAUGGGAAUGAAGUUGUGGGGCCUGGAGGUCUAAUCUCCAAGGGCCUGGUGGAGUGCAUGAAGGGGUGGGUGCGGGGUAUGGAAGGCAAGAGAAGAAACUGGGAGGAAAGGACCAGAGGGCGCAGUUUGCAGCCAGGAACAUACACAGCUCCCAGGAGGUCAUCCCUUGUUCCAUAAAACAGCUUGGAGGCAAAUGGAAAUCGGCACCAAACUGCAAAUAGCUUUCCAAACACCCUCCCAGGCUUGCGAAUGGAUGUGACACCCUCUUAGGAGUUGGGAAUGUUCAGGCCCUCGCAGCUGGGCCCCAAUUCCAGGAACAUUAAUCUACCCUGGCCUGAAAACUGCACAGAUGUUUGCUCCCUUCCUAGGGCCCAGGGAAGGGGAUGAGACAGAGGAGAGCUAAGAAUGUGGCCUUACCACAGGCUCAGGAUGCCUGUUAAAACCCUGUCAGACUCCUCAGGAAAAAAAAAAAAAAAGAA